rnacentral:rRNA from 1 species
CGGAUUGGAGUCUGCAACUCGACUCCAUGAAGCUGGAUUCGCUAGUAAUCGCGCAUCAGCCAUGGCGCGGUGAAUACGUUCCCGGGCCUUGUACACACCGCCCGUCAAGCCCAUGGAAGCCGGGAGUGCCUGAAGUGUGCAACCGCAAGGAGCGCCCUAAGGUAAAACUGGUGACUGGGGCUAAGUCGUAACAAGGUACC